AAGAGUGAUUCCAGAGAGAAGCAGACAGAGGGGUCUACAGUCUGUGUUUGAAGGAUAUAUCCAGGAUGUCAAACUGACUCAGCAGCAACAACAGGUUAAAAAGACAAAGAUAGUUAGAAGCUAAAGCCAAACUAUAGGCUACAGAUCACAGUGUAAAAGUGAACCACCACAUCACUGCUGAUCGCCACACAAGACAAUGUAUAUAAAGGGAAACUUUGCUGAUAUUGAACCAGCUGUGUGGCAUCGCCGUGUGUGCAGAUGAACCGUGUUUGGCUUCGCCCUGUGCCGCUGGAUGGGCAGGGAUAUCUGGAAGAAGUCAUAAACCCCAAAAUAUUGCAAUCAGCUGGGAAAUAUAAACGUUAAAGUGCUUUUUACCCAGAAAAUCUGCAGCUUCCCCUUUUAUUCUCAUUGCCUCUUCAAUAUGGCGGCGCUGUUGACGUACGAUUCGGCAGCCAAUGCGGCAUCUAUGUUUCUAUAUCUAUCGUCAAAAGCCUUUUGAUGAAUAACUCUUUAGCAACCAAUCCGAAAGCUGUUAAUAAAAAGAAUAGUUGUCGACAACACAUUUGGGGACUAAGGAAUCACUUUAAAACAAAUAUGCAACAAUAAUUUGGCUUAAGAAACAAGUACAAAGUAUCUAAUGCAAAGCCAAAGCACAGUAUUUUAUUAGUAAAUACUCAUUUCAUAUUUUCAUGCAUGUGGAUUCUCAGUAAAUGAGGAUCUCUCUUAACAUCUAACUUCUUCAACCAAUAACAGAAACCAGCAUCAAGAAGCAUGUUUGCUCCAAAGAUAAAACCUCUCCUGACAUCCGGCUCCAUGUCUUCACUCACCAUUGAUGAUGUGUUUAUACUAUAUAUUUUUUUGAAAAUGUUGAAAACCUGAGGGGAUGUGGUGAAAGAAAACUGCCAGGAUGAUGUGUGUGCAAUGUCCCACUUUUUUUGGCUCAGUAUGAGUCAUAGUCAGGUUUAUAUACCAGCUCAGUGACAGCAGUGCUUUAAUGAUUACAGAUACUCUGUCAUGAUGUGCGCUCAACUGCUUCAGAGCUACUGUGCAACAGAUUGCAACUUUCACAUUUUUCCUCUCGUCUCACAACUUCAACUUUUUUUAGGCUUAAUGUACCAAGGUUCUGUCAUUGUUUUGUCUUCUCAGAACAUUGGUAGAGGGUUAUCCAUUAAGUACAAUUACAGUUGUAGCCCUGUGAUGACUUCUUCUCAAACUGUGAAGCAGAACAUGUACAGCACAUACUGUAAACACUCUAUGGUGCUGUCAAACACCAACAGAUAUGUUAUUGGGAAAAACUUUGAGAGCGCUUUGAGAAUUUUGGCUUGGGAAAUUGUGAAAAAAGCAGUGUUGUUCUGUACGUCAGACCUGUUGUCUAAAACUGUAAUUGUACACAUUUCAUUCAUUCAUUCAUUCAUUCUUUGAUUUAAUGGGAUGGACUGAAUUUAUGAAACGUGAUUUAAUUCAAAAACUGUAUCUGAUAUAUUUCAGAGAGGUGUUGCCACAAUACUGGAACUGCUAACAGCACUAUACCCUAAAAAUGUCAACAUUAUUAAUAUUGAUCGAUAUGUAUCAAUAAAAUCAGUAUUUCUGACAACACUAAUCUGAUAUAGUUCAGAGCAGUGAUUCCCAAGUGGUGGGCCAAGGUCCAAAAGUGGGUCGUGGGUUCAUUCUGAAUGGACCGCAAAUGACUUGUUAACAUGUCAAGUAAAAACCACACUUUAUUUUGACGUACAGUGAAUUUCCAGCACACAGCUUUUAUUUUGAAGUGCUGUUUCCUGCUGUAGAGUGAGUAACUAUCAGACAGCUACGUGACAGAGACAGCAAACUAGCUCGACGACAUGACAUAACGAAAGUAUGAUGCCGAAUACAUUAACCUGUGUGGACCUUGAACUCUUGACGAAGGACAAAUCUGGUGGCCGGACCAGUUGGGAACCACUGUCUCAGAGAUUUAUGAGCUUAAACAGACUUGGUACAAUCAUUUUUGAAAAUGUAACUGUAGAGAUAAACUUGAAUAAUAUUGUGCUCUGACUAAGUGAGACCACUUUGCUGCAGUGUCCUCAGCCUCUGAUAAUUGUCUGGAACUUUGCACUAGCCCAACAGGGCAGAAACAUAACGGUAUCCACAGGCUUCAUUCUCUACAAUCCCACAUUGUAAUACAGUAUAAUGUUGAGAAGAAGUGGCAGAAAGUCAACGCCUUGUGGAAAUAAUAUUUCACUCAGAAUUGCACUGUACAAGCAAACACUGCUACCAAAUGCAUUGCCUCCUAGUUCAGAUGAAACAGCCUUAUUUUCAGACUGAUGCCUGAAGCUGGCAAGGAUCAUGUCGGGUUUCUGUGGGAGUGAAAUUAUACUGCACAACCACCCAAACUGGAGUUACUUGGUUUAUAAAGCAGCAUCAGUAGCAGUGUGGUCCCAUGGAUGGAUGGCAGAACAUACAAACGUGUCACUGUACCUUAAACGUUGAUGAGCGAUGUGCAAUUUACUGUAAGGUAAAGAUGAAAACUGACAGUGCCAGAGGAAAUAAAUGUUUUUGAAGGAAAA